AUUGAACGCUGGCGGCAGGCCUAACACAUGCAAGUCGAACGGUAACAGGAAGAAGCUUGCUUCUUUGCUGACGAGUGGCGGACGGGUGAGUACUGUCUGCGAAACUGCCUGAUGGAGGGGGAUAACUACUGGAAACGGUAGCUAAUACCGCAUAACGUCGCAAGACCACAAAGGGGGACCUUCGGGCCUCUUGCCAUCGGAUCUGCCCAGAUGGGAGUAGCUAGUAGGUGGGGUAACGGCUCACCUAGGCGACGAUCCCUAGCUGGUCUGAGAGGAUGACCAGCCACACUGGAACAGAGACACGGGCCAGAGGCCUACGGGAGGCAGCAGUGGGAAUAUUGCACAAUGGGCGCAAGCCUGAUGCAGCCAUGCCGCGUGUAGGAAGAAGGCCUUCGGGUUGUAAAGUACUUUCAGCGGGGAGGAAGGGAGUAAAGUUAAUACCUUUGCUCAUUGACGUUACCCGCAGAAGAAGCACCGGCUAACUCCGUG
rnacentral:rRNA from 1 species